UCAUGCUUUUAAAGAUCAAACAUUUGGACUCACGCGAUUUCACGAAGCCGCCGGCCUGCCUGGCUUCCUCACGAUUUGACUAAACGCUCGCACUUUCCUUUGAAAAUUCAUCUCACCAGAAUUGUAUGUAAACCAGAAGCCUAAUAUAAUUGCAUCGCCGAUCCGUCAUUUGCAUCAUCAAUCUCUCUCCUCCACCGAUUCCUUGAUAUGAACACGAUGAAAUCGACGACUCUUCCCGUUAUUGGCUUCCUUUUGCUUGCGAUUUGCCGAUUUGUCGCCGGUCAGUCGAUCGCUCCAUCGCCUGCUCCUUCUGGUCCUUCCAGCGACGGAUCAUCGAUUGAUCAAGGAAUUGCUUAUGUUCUUCUGUUUAUCGCAUUGGCUUUGACAUACUUUGUUCACUAAACGGAUCUGAAUUUGAUUUGUAUUUCCAGUGUUUUUGAAGUUCUUUCUUCCUCUGGUUUACAAAUGGAUUCAGAAUUUAGGGUUUAGUAAUUAUAUUAUUUACUGUCGAAUGUAUAUCUGGGGUUUACAUUUUUACGGUAUGAAAAUUCUGAGCUGAAACUCAUUAUUUAAUUUUUUUUUAUAUACAAUAUUUGAUGGAUUGGAUGAAUGAAUUGGGUACUUGGUCA